rnacentral:tRNA from 1 species
CACUAAGAAGCUAAACUUAGCGUUAACCUUUUAAGUUAAAGAUUGAGAGCUAUAAACUCCCCUUAG